AGUUAUUAGAAUUUGUAUUUCUUAAUGGGAAUGGAGAACUCCUCGAGCUUGUAAAUGGGUAUUCCUCCGGUAGCAUAACCAUCAUGAGUUAUCUUACAGUUGAUCUCUCUGCCAGUGUAAGAAACCAGCUACUGAAUCCAGACAGCUACCAGCAAUACUAAUUACUAAAUGCUGAUCCAUGCACUAUCUCACAUUCAUUCCGAGGACAGUGCACCAUUUGUGUGUCAGUUGGGUGAAAGCAUUGAUCCUUAGUUUAGAGAAAAAACCGGCCAGUGCGACUAUGGAGAAAGCAGAAAAGCAGAUGGAUGCAAUAUCAAGGGAUGCAUGACGACCUGUGAUUGCUUGAACUUCAAACAAGUUUGUAGCUCUUUCUACAUUUGUGUUCUGGCCAAAGGCGACCUCUUGAUCCUGAGAGUUGAAUACAUACGCCCUCACAAAAUAUGUUGCAGAAGGAAUGUCUCUCAUGAUGGUCCAUGAAAAGGAGUUGUUUGAAGCACUGUAUGGCCUAGACACAAUCUUGUGUUGGCAGGUCUUGUCCUUCUUCAUUUCDUCCUCCGUUUUCCUCCAAGAUCUGUCCUUUUGACUGAUGGGUGCAUAGCAUAGCUUCACUUUUACRGUUCUGUAGGCCGAGU